UACGUAGGGUGCAAGCGUUGUCCGGAAUUACUGGGCGUAAAGCGCACGUAGGCGGCUAUUCAAGUCGGGGGUGAAAGCCCGGGGCUCAACCCCGGAACUGCCCUCGAAACUAGAUAGCUAGAAUCUUGGAGAGGCGAGUGGAAUUCCGAGUGUAGAGGUGAAAUUCGUAGAUAUUCGGAAGAACACCAGUGGCGAAGGCGACUCGCUGGACAAGUAUUGACGCUGAGGUGCGAAAGCGUGGGGAGCAAACAGG
rnacentral:rRNA from 1 species